rnacentral:misc_RNA from 1 species
GUAAGCGUAAGUCAUUACCU